rnacentral:pre_miRNA from 1 species
CAAAUACUCCCUCCGUCCAGAAAUACUUGUCAUCAAAAUGGAUAAAAGGAAAUGUAUCUAGACGUAUUUUAGUUUUAGAUACAUCUCUUUUUAUCCAUUUGGAUGACAAGUAUUUUCGGAUGGAGGGAGUAUUUA